GGAUGUGAGGGUGAUCUGGCUGUGACAUCUGUCACCCUGUUGAUUGCCAGGGUUGAUUUGGCUGAUCUGGCUGGCUAGACAGGUGUCCCUUCCUCUCUCAUUGCUCUGUGUGCAUCCUUCCUGAGGCUGCAUACUUGGUCCAAGUGGAGGACCUUCCUAGACAGAAAGGGAUCAUUCUUGGGUCGAGGGUAUAAAAGUAGGUGUGCUCCUCUGCUAGAAUCUCCAAGCAAGCUCUCAAGGUCCAUUUAUAGAAGAACGUAGGGUAGUCAAGCUUCCAAGACUCCAGACACAUCCAAAUGAGGCACUGCAUGUGGCAGUCUGCCCUUCUUU
rnacentral:snRNA from 1 species